rnacentral:rRNA from 1 species
AUUGAACGCUGGCGGAAUGCUUUACACAUGCAAGUCGAACGGCAGCACGGGGGCAACCCUGGUGGCGAGUGGCGAACGGGUGAGUAAUACAUCGGAACGUGCCCGGUCGUGGGGGAUAACGUAGCGAAAGUUACGCUAAUACCGCAUACGAUCUGAGGAUGAAAGCGGGGGACCUUCGGGCCUCGCGCGAUCGGAGCGGCCGAUGUCAGAUUAGGUAGCUGGUGGGGUAAAGGCCUACCAAGCCGACGAUCUGUAGCUGGUCUGAGAGGACGACCAGCCACACUGGGACUGAGACACGGCCCAGACUCCUACGGGAGGCAGCAGUGGGGAAUUUUGGACAAUGGGCGCAAGCCUGAUCCAGCCAUUCCGCGUGCAGGACGAAGGCCUUCGGGUUGUAAACUGCUUUUGUAUGGAACGAAAAGGCUCUGGCUAAUACCUGGGGCUCAUGACGGUACCGGAAGAAUAAGCACCGGCUAACUACGUG